UGCGACCCCAGGUCAGGCGGGACUACCCGCUGAGU
rnacentral:rRNA from 3 species